rnacentral:rRNA from 1 species
UACGGAGGGUGCAAGCGUUGUUCGGAUUUACUGGGCGUAAAGAGCGUGUAGGUGGCUCGAUAAGUCUGAUGUGAAAUCCCUGGGCUCAACCCAGGAAGUGCAUUGGAUACUGUCGAGCUGGAGUACAGGAGGGGAGAGCGGAAUUCCAGGUGUAGAGGUGAAAUUCGUAGAUAUCUGGAGGAACAACGGUGGCGAAGGCGGCUCUCCGGACUGUUACUGACACUAAGGCGCGAAAGCGUGGGGAGCAAACAGG